UGGCGGGGCCUGCCCUGGAGCCGCCGGCCGGGGCCCGGGACCGGCGCGGGAGGAGAAGAGUGCGGGCGGGGUCGGCAGCGGUUCUCCCGUGCGGGGCGGGACGGCGCUCGGGGUCCCCUCGGCCGCCGCGAGCUGCCCCUGCCCCGCCACCCUCUGCGGCGGCCCCCCUCGUAGCCCUCCCCCGGUGCCCCGAGGGGCCUCCCCCCGUCCCGCCGGGUCCUGAGGGGCCUUCCCCGGGCCCCGUUCUCGGCUUCUCCCCUCAGCGGUGGGCGGAGGCGGCGCGCGGCGAAGCCCCCCCCCCGGCCUCCUCCAUGGUGGGGUUCGGGGCCAACAGGAGGGGCGGCCGUCUGCCGUCCUUGGUCUUCGCGGCGCUGCUGGUGCUGAUCGCCGUCCUCGCCUUCAACUACUGGAGCGCCGCGUCCCGCCAGGCCCUGCUGCAGGAGGAGGUGGCCGGGCUGCAGGGCCAGGCCAGGCGCGGCGAGGUGGCCCGCGGGCGGCUGGAGAAGAGGAACUCGGACCUCAUGCUCAGGGUGGACUCCCAGCAGAAGCAGCUGGAGCAGAAGGAGGCGGACUGCCGGCACCUGAGCGGCCAGCUGCAAGCCAAGGACAGCCAGGCUACCAGAUGCGAGGACAGCAAGAUCAAACUACAGAACAACAUAUCAUAUCAAAUGGCAGACAUACAUCGUUUAAAAGAACAACUAGCAGAAUUACGCCAAGAAUUCAUUCGUCAAGAGGACCAGCUUCAUGAGUACAAGAAGAACAAUACUCGUCUUGGGAGGAGGCUGGAGUAUGAGAGUUUGCAGUGUGGACAACAAAUCAAAGACAUGAAAAUGCAACAUGAAGAAAAUAUAAAGAAGUUAAUGGACCAAGGUGUACAAGAACAAAAGGAUGCACAGAGAAUCCAGCCAAGACAAGACAUUGAACAGGGUUUGAAUGAUGAUCAAGCGAUAUCUAAGACUAUUCAAGAGACACAUGAGAAAAAUUUAGUAAAGAAUGAAGAACCCUCAAGCAAUCACAUCCCUAAUGGCAAAGAGCAAAUCAAAUCAGGAGGUGAUGCAGGCAUGCCUGGAAUAGAAGAGAAUGAUCCUGCUAAAGCUGAAGAUACUCCUGCUGCUUUAAAGAAGCCUCUUAUUUCAACUUCUCAAAGUGAAGGUCAUCAACCCAAUCUGAAUCUUCCUACUUUACAGCCCCAUAUGCCAAAUAUGGUUCCAGAUUUAAAUGCUGACAAUGAAGGAAAUGUUAAUAUUGUGAAGCAGAUACCUCCAAAUCCUCCUCAGCUCUUGAUUCCUGAACAAAAUUUGGAAAGUAAAAAAGAACACAAAAUUAAAACUGAACUUGGAAAACAAGCUCCAAAGGAUAGAGUUGGUGACUUCCAGAAGAUGAAGCAAAGCCGAUUCUUUGAUGAGAAUGAAUCCCCUGUUGAUCCGCAGCAUGGCUCUAAAUUGGCGGAUUAUAAUGGGGAUGAUGGUAACGUGGGUGAGUAUGAGGCAGACAAGCAGGCUGAACUGGCCUACAAUGAGGAAGAGGAUGGUGAUGGUGGAGAAGAAGACGUCCAAGGCAGUAUGAUGACAUUGAAGAUGAACACACAACAAAGAUUGAAUUGACCUGAAGACGAAAGAAAAAUAUAAAAACCGUAUUAGAGCUAAUAUAUAAAAUAUAAGACUGAAGCUUAGAGUUUGCUGUUUAAAGACUUCAUAAGACACUGUACUAUGGUGUCUUAGAAGCACAAAUGUGAACUUUAAAAUAGCAGACUUCAAAAACACUGAUUAAAAGUACAAUUUGAAAUACUGGGCAUGGAUUCCACUGCUUCACAAUUGACUGUGCCAAAGAUUUUUGGAGUGUUCCUCCUUUUUAUGCUCAUGAGGAAGAGAGAGAAGAAAUGUAUAGCUUGGUUCAUUAUCAGACCAUAUACAGCUUUUUUGGCAGUGGGAGCUAGAGGCAAGAGUGUAACUUUUCUGCAUGAGAUGAUGAAGAGAAAGAACUUCAAAUGGACCUUGGAGACUAUAGAAAGUCACGCUUCAAUGAUGUGCUUUAAAGCCUGAAUUAAUAUCUAAGAGAAUUUGCAACAGAACUGAAGCACUGCAAAACUGAACCAUUUUUGUUUCAGUAAUCCUUAAGAUGGUAAUAAAGAAACAAUAAUAGGGUUACUUAAAAUAAAUUUACUUAAUGUUAGUUAAGUAAUGGAAGGAGACAUAAAAUGCUGUGUGUAUAUAUGUACAUAGUUGUACUAUUGCAAAUUGUAUUAUCAAAAUGACAUUUCUGUCCUGUUAUAGUGAGCCAAUUAAAUUUAAAGACUGUACCUUACCUGUAAUCUUUGCUUUUAAAACAAACUAAUAUAUUAUCAAUUUAGGCUGAAUUGUUUCUGCGAAUUAGGAAAUCUUGUAAACUGGAGAACUUGUACAGUUUGUAUCUUACAUAUGGAACAAAUAUACUGUGGAAACAAUUGGACAGCCGAAGGACUUCUUUUAUACAGGAAUAUAUCAUCUGUAUGAAUGAAAAUACCCCUUUGUUUUCCAUGGGUGCUGUAUUUUGUAUUUUGCAGGUAAGCUUUCAAUUGAGACAACUGAAUGAAAUGUGUAAAAAUAUUUAUGGGUUGCACCUUCCUUAAUAAAUUAAGGACAGAGAUAGGUGACUGAAACAUUCUACAGCAACUUUCCAGAAAUCAGAGCCAUUUAAUCCUAGCACACAGUGACCAAAGUUUAUAUCCAUAGUUGGAAAUCAGUGAUAUUAGAGUAUUAGUAACUUCAUCCAUGAUGGAAGAGGUAUGGCUAGCUGAUUUCACCAGUCAAACUAAAAGCUGAAUCAGUAUUUUAAAACUUCCCUUAACAAAGCUGUAGGAAACUUAUUUGCUAACACCUUUAAAGGGUACAAGUGUUUCUUAAAUUAGAAGUAGUCUACAACAGUUCUGUAUAAAUAGCUCACAUUAGAGGAAAACUAAAGGAAAGUAUGUGCAGUCUUUGCAAUCACGAGAUAUAAUCAUAUGAACCCUCUUAAUUUCAUGAACAGCUCAAGUCUGUCAUUUUAAUUUAAAGUUUAAUACUCUGAUACAGAUCUCUUCAAACAUUUGACAUCUGCACUGUUGCUUUUCUAUUUCAGAAGAGUUUGUACUUGUUUGUAUUCUGGGUUGAAAUACUUUCUGAAUUCCACAGAAAUGGUUUUGUUUAUUUACAGUAAGUUCAAAUUUAAGGUUAUUAACGCUACCUGCCUCUCAAAAAGGGCUACUGGGAAUAGAAUUUAUGGGGCCUAUGACAGAGGUGAUUGUACUUUGCUAUCUCUGUACUCAGGUUCAAAUUUAAAAUAGCAUCGUAUUACAUUUAAGGUUCAUUGUGGUGAUUAAGUGAACAUUUUGAAUAAUUUUUUUGAGUAAAUAGUAAAAGGUCAUCAGGUUUUUUUACUUCAGUAACAAGUCGUAGUUAUACAAUAACUUCCUGAAAACAAAGCUUUGAGAAGAUUCUGCUUAAGCAGCUGACUUU